GAUGAACGCUGGCGGCAGGCCUAAUACAUGCAAGUCGAGCGGCAGCACGAGAAGAUCGCUCCCUUACCGGUGGCGGGGGACGGGUGAGUGACACAUGGAUAACAUACCACUAAGACUGGGGGGACUACGGGGGAAAGCUGCCAAUACCACAGAAUACAUUCUACCGCUGGAUGCAUUAGUGAUUCACACUUUGCCUGUUUCUUAUAGACGAUGUCGCGUCGCAUUAGCUAGUUGGUAAGGUAACGGCUCACCAAGGCAACGAUGCGGAGCCGAUCUGAGAGGAUGAUCAGCCACACUGGAACUGAGACACGGUCCAGACUCCUACGGGAGGCAGCAGUGGGGAAUCUUGCACAAUGGGCGAAAGCCUGAUCGAGCCACGCCGCGUGGGUGAAGAAGGUCUUCGGAUCGUAAAGCUCUUUUAUUGGGAAAGAACAAAAGUGUAUGAAACUCUGCCCGUCUUGACGGUACCUAAUGAAUAAGCACCGGCUAACUUCGUG
rnacentral:rRNA from 1 species